GACGAACGCUGGCGGCGUGCUUAACACAUGCAAGUCGAACGGAAAGACCCUGCUUUUGUGGGGUGCUCGAGUGGCGAACGGGUGAGUAACACGUGAGUAACCUGCCCUUGACUUUGGGAUAACUUCAGGAAACUGGGGCUAAUACCGGAUAGGAGCUCCUGCUGCAGGGUGGGGGUUGGAAAGUUUCGGCGGUUGGGGAUGGACUCGCGGCUUAUCAGCUUGUUGGUGGGGGAGUGGCUUACCAAGGCUUUGGCGGGUAGCCGGCCUGAGAGGGUGACCGGCCACAUUGGGACUGAGAUACGGCCCAGACUCCUACGGGAGGCAGCAGUGGGGAAUAUUGCACAAUGGGCGGAAGCCUGAUGCAGCAACGCCGCGUGCGGGAUGACGGCCUUCGGGUUGUAAACCGCUUUCGCCUGUGACGAAGCGUGAGUGACGGUAAUGGGUAAAGAAGCACCGGCUAACUACGUG
rnacentral:rRNA from 1 species